GGAAGCUUUCGGGUGGAAUGAACUUAACUUAGCGGCGGACGGGUGAGUAACGCGUGGACAACCUACCCUGUACAGGGGGAUAACAAUGGGAAACCAUUGCUAAUACCUCAUAACACCUUUUAGGGGCAUCCCUUUAAGGUCAAAGAAUUUCGGUACAGGAUGGGUCCGCGUCUGAUUAGCUAGUUGGUGAGGUAAUGGCUCACCAAGGCGACGAUCAGUAGCCGGCCUGAGAGGGUGAACGGCCACACUGGAACUGAGACACGGUCCAGACUCCUACGGGAGGCAGCAGUGGGGAAUUCUACACUAUGGGCGAAAGCCUGAUGCAGCAACGCCGCGUGAGCGAUGAAGGCUUUCGGGUCGUAAAGCUCUGUCCUAAGGGAAGAUAAUGACGGUACCUUAGGAGGAAGCCCCGGCUAACUACGUGCCAGCAGCCGCGGUAAUACGUAGGGGGCAAGCGUUAUCCGGAAUCAUUGGGCGUAAAGGGUGCGUAGGCGGCCCUAUAGGUCAGAGGUCAAAGGCUACGGCUCAACCGUAGUAAGCCUUUGAAACUGUAGGGCUUGAGUGCAGGAGAGGAGAGUGGAAUUCCUAGUGUAGCGGUGAAAUGCGUAGAUAUUAGGAGGAACACCAGUGGCGAAGGCGACUCUCUGGACUGCAACUGACGCUGAGGCACGAAAGCGUGGGGAGCGAACAGGAUUAGAUACCCUGGUAGUCCACGCCGUAAACGAUGAGUGCUAGGUGUCGGGGGUCGAACCUCGGUGCCGCAGCUAACGCAUUAAGCACUCCGCCUGGGGAGUACGUUCGCAAGAAUGAAACUCAAAGGAAUUGACGGGGACCCGCACAAGCAGCGGAGCAUGUGGUUUAAUUCGAAGCAACGCGAAGAACCUUACCUGGACUUGACAUCCCUCGGACCGCUUUUUAACCAAAGCCUUCCCUUCGGGGACUGAGGUGACAGGUGGUGCAUGGUUGUCGUCAGCUCGUGUC
rnacentral:rRNA from 1 species